UCCUCCAUAGCUCAGUGGUUAGAGCAUCCAACUGGCACCUGGACAGUCAUGGGUUUGAUUACUGUUGGAGAGCUCAGAA